UGUGUGUCUGUGUGCGCGCGUGUGUUCCCGGCGCCUCCAUGCGCCCAGGCGCUGCCGGGGGCUGCUUGUCAGAUUCAGAUUAUACAUAUCUACAGUUUUAAAAGUUUUCUGAUUGAUUCUGACUACAACACAGACACUCAGAGUGAGACAGUCUGGGCAUGUCUCCUGAAGAAUACAUAGGAAAGCAAAUUCAGGCCACAAGAGUUGGGGACAGAUGAAAGAGGAGAAGAUCCAAAAAGAUGCAAUAUUGCAAGAUCCAAAAUAAAAAUGAUCAUAGGAUGAUCAUAACAUAAUUCGGAAUAUUUGAGCCAAGUUAUAUGACCACAGCUACAGGCAUACA